AUGACGAUCAUGAGCUGGAACUGUCGAGGUCUCGGGCAACCUCGAACAGUUCAAGAACUGGUGUGUCUUAUACACACACACAAGCCCAAGCUCGUCUUCCUCACCGAAACUCGGCAAAAUAACAAGUAUGUCACAAAUCUCAAAUGGAGGCUGGGCCUCCGUCAUUGUAUCACGCAACCCGGUACCGGUAAGGGUGCUGGCAUUGCUCUUUUCUAUGAUGAAAGUGUGGAAAUAAAGAAGAUUGCCAUGGGGACGAGGUAUAUUGAUGUGUUGGUCCGUUUAAACCCUCAUGGCCCUCAAUGGAGGGGCACUUUCAUUUAUGGGGAGCCGAAAGCGCAUGAACGGCAUCACAUGUGGUCACUGCUGAGUAGAAUCAAAGACACAAGCAACCUACCAUGGCUCAUGACCGGAGAUUUCAAUGAAACUAUGUGGCAGUCAGAGCACUACUCGGUCGCAAAAAGAUCAGAAAGGUAUAUGAGAAACUUAAGAGAGAUCAUGUCGGAAUGCAACUUGUUUGACUUAGGCUUCAAGGGGCCGGGAUGGACCUAUAACAAUAAACAACAAGGUAACAACAAUGUGUGA
rnacentral:rRNA from 1 species